rnacentral:rRNA from 1 species
CCGAUAGGCGUAGGCGAUGGACAUCAGGUUGAUAAUCCUGAGCUGGCGAAGAACCGCCCAAGUCAAUCCAGUAAUGCUAAGAGUCCGAAUCCUUGGACCGAUCCCUUCGGGGUGACGUCCUUGGGCUAGCACUCGACCCUAUGCUGGUGCGGCUAGCGUAUUAACAGGUGUGACGCAGGAAGGUAGCAGAACCGGGCCGAUGGUUGAGUCCGGGUAAGCCGUAGGGCGUGGGAUAGGCAAAUCCGUCCCACAUACAGCCUGAGAGCUUUGCCGAACCCUAGAGGGAAGUCUGUGAUCCUAUGCUGCCGAGAAAAGCAUCGACGCGAGGUUUUAGUCACCCGUACCCCAAACCAACACUGG